CCACCCAAACCCAAAGACCAACCUCACAACAUCACCAUCCCAGAUACAUCCAACCACUAAUCGAACAUGAUUACGAACCCAUAAACAUCCAACCCCGCAACCAAUUCAUGCCACAUACCCAAACAUAAAACCAAGAUCAUGACACAUACCAUCAACAACCAUAUGCCGCCACCACAUCUUACUAUAGACCCCUUCCCACCAUAGCCCCUAACCAAUGUACAACCAAAC
rnacentral:lncRNA from 1 species